CUUCUAGUAUGUGUCUGAAGACAGCUGCAGUGUACUCAUAUAAAUUAAAAAAUAAAUAAAUCUAAAAAAAAAAAAAAGACUGUGAAAGAGAUGCACAGAGGCAGAGCCCACAGUGGUCUCAAUCUGGCACCAAAAACUUGGAGGAUUCCUGAAGAACUUCUGUCCCUAAAUGUACGCUGGAAGCCUAAAGAAGGUGGCUCUAAUAUCAGCCCAGAAUGCAGUAAGAACAGGAGAUGGGCUUGCCUACUGGCAUGCAAAGCAGGACUUCCUUCUUUCACAGCCUCUGACCAUCUGGGCUGCAACCAACGAAAAGACACUGCCCACAUUUGUGGAUUUGUUGUUGUCUUUACCUUGCUUUUUCAGGACAGGGUUUCUCUGUAUAGCCCUGGAUGUCCUGGAACUCUCUAUACAGACCAGGCUGGCCUUGAACUCAGAGAUCUGCCUCCCUCUGCCUCCUGAGCGCUAGAAUUAAAGGCUUAUGCCACCACACCCUGCUGAUACUGCCCACUUUUAGGAAACAUCUUUCUGCUUCAAAUGAUCAGAUCAGGAAAAGUCUUUUGCAAGAGUGCCAGAGGUUUGUAUUGUUCCAGAUCCAAUCAAGUUGACAAAUAAGACCUGAGCUCCACCCCUGGGACCACCACAGCAGAAAGAUGAACGGGCUCCAACAAGUUUUCCUCUGACCUCCGUAGGAACCUUAUGGUACAUGCUUGGGGGUAUAUACUUAAGUGCUUGUGCACACACAAAAUGGAUAUAUUAAAAAGGAUUUUAAAAACCGUGA